rnacentral:rRNA from 1 species
AUUGAACGCUGGCGGAAUGCUUUACACAUGCAAGUCGAACGGUAGAGGGGGCAACCCCUUGAGAGUGGCGAACGGGUGAGUAAUAUAUCGGAACGUGCCCAGUCGUGGGGGAUAACGUAGCGAAAGUUACGCUAAUACCGCAUACGAUCUAAGGAUGAAAGCGGGGGAUCGCAAGACCUCGCGCGACUGGAGCGGCCGAUAUCAGAUUAGGUAGUUGGUAGGGUAAAGGCCUACCAAGCCAACGAUCUGUAGCUGGUCUGAGAGGACGACCAGCCACACUGGAACUGAGACACGGUCCAGACUCCUACGGGAGGCAGCAGUGGGGAAUUUUGGACAAUGGGCGAAAGCCUGAUCCAGCCAUUCCGCGUGCAGGAUGAAGGCCCUCGGGUUGUAAACUGCUUUUGUACAGAACGAAAAGGUUUCUAUUAAUACUAGGAGCUCAUGACGGUACUGUAAGAAUAAGCACCGGCUAACUACGUGCCAGCAGCCGCGGUAAUACGUAGGGUGCAAGCGUUAAUCGGAAUUACUGGGCGUAAAGCGUGCGCAGGCGGUUAUAUAAGUCAGAUGUGAAAUCCCCGGGCUCAACCUGGGAACUGCAUUUGAGACUGUAUAGCUAGAGUACGGUAGAGGGGGAUGGAAUUCCGCGUGUAGCAGUGAAAUGCGUAGAUAUGCGGAGGAACACCGAUGGCGAAGGCA